CUACGGGAGGCAGCAGUGGGGAAUCUUAGACAAUGGGCGCAAGCCUGAUCUAGCCAUGCCGCGUGAGUGACGAAGGCCUUAGGGUCGUAAAGCUCUUUCGCUGGGGAAGAUAAUGACGGUACCCAGUAAAGAAACCCCGGCUAACUCCGUGCCAGCAGCCGCGGUAAUACGGAGGGGGUUAGCGUUGUUCGGAAUUACUGGGCGUAAAGCGCGCGUAGGCGGAUCAGAAAGUUGGGGGUGAAAUCCCGGGGCUCAACCCCGGAACUGCCUUCAAAACUCCUGGUCUUGAGUUCGGGAGAGGUGAGUGGAAUUCCGAGUGUAGAGGUGAAAUUCGUAGAUAUUCGGAGGAACACCAGUGGCGAAGGCGGCUCACUGGCUCGAUACUGACGCUGAGGUGCGAAAGCGUGGGGAGCAAACAGGAUUAGAUACCCCCGUAGUC
rnacentral:rRNA from 1 species